GCCUCGAUAGCUCAGGUGGGAGAGCAAUAGACUAGCGAUCUAAACGUCACCGGUUCGAUCCAGGUACGGGCCA
rnacentral:tRNA from 1 species